rnacentral:rRNA from 1 species
GAGAUAUAACCUGCCCAAUGAUUUAUUUAAUGGCCGCGGUAUUCUGACCGUGCAAAGGUAGCAUAAUCAUUAGUCUAUUAAUUGUGGACUGGAAUGAAUGGUUGGACGAAAUAUUAACUGUCUCUUAAAUUAUUAUUAUAAUUUAAAUUUUAAGUUAAAAGGCUUAAAUUUUUUUGUAGGACGAGAAGACCCUAUAGAUCUUUAUUUUUAUUGGUUUUAUUUAUUUUGGAUUAAUUUUUAAUAAUGUUAGUUAAUUUUUAGUUGGGGNGAUNGGGAUUAAAUAUGCAAAACUUUCUUUAUUUUAUUACAUUUAUUUAUGUAUAAAUGACCUUAUUUUAUUGUUAUAAGAUUAAGAUACCUUAGGGAUAACAGCGUAAUAUUCUUUGAGAGUUCUUAUUAACAAGAAUGAUUGCGACCUCGAUGUUGAAUUAAGAAAAUGUAUGGGUGCAGUAGCUCAUUAAUAUAGGUC